CACGUAGGGUGCGAGCGUUGUCCGGAGUUAUUGGGCGUAAAGAGCUCGUAGGCGGUGUGUCGCGUCGGCCGUUAAAACCUGCAGCUUAACUGUGGGCUUGCGGUCGAUACGGGCAUCACUGGAGUUCGGCAGGGGAGACUGGAAUUCCUGGUGUAGCGGUGAAAUGCGCAGAUAUCAGGAGGAACACCGGUGGCGAAGGCGGGUCUCUGGGCCGAUACUGACGCUGAGGAGCGAAAGCGUGGGGAGCGAACAGG
rnacentral:rRNA from 1 species